AUGGUAGGAUAGAGGCCUACCAUGGUGGUAACGGGUAACGGGGUGUUAGGGCACGACACCGGAGAGGGAGCCUGAGAAACGGCUACCACAUCCAAGGAUGGCAGCAGGCGCGCAAAUUACCCAAUCCCGACACGGGGAGGUAGUGACAAUAAAUAACAAUACGGGGUUCUUUAGGAUCUCGUAAUUGGAAUGAGUACAAUUUAAAUCUCUUAACGAGGAACAAUUGGAGGGCAAGUCUGGUGCCAGCAGCCGCGGUAAUUCCAGCUCCAAUAGCGUAUAUUAAAGUUGUUGCAGUUAAAAAGCUCGUAGUUGAAUUUCGGGGUCAGUAGGUCGGUCGUGCCACUGGUAUGAACUGGUUUUACUGAUUCCUCCCUCUUGAAGAACCGUAAUGCCAUUAAUUUGGUGUUGCAGGGAAUCAGGACUGUUACUUUGAAAAAAUUAGAGUGUUUAAAGCAGGCUUUAGCUUGAAUACAUUAGCAUGGAAUAAUGAAAUAGGACGUUUGAUCCUAUUUUGUUGGUCUCUAGGAUUGACGUAAUGAUUAAUAGGGAUAGUUGGGGGCAUUAGUAUUCAAUUGUCAGAGGUGAAAUUCUUGGAUUUAUUGAAGACUAACUACUGCGAAAGCAUUUGCCAAGGAUGUUUUCAUUAAUCAAGAACGAAAGUUAGGGGAUCGAAGACGAUCAGAUACCGUCGUAGUCUUAACCAUAAACUAUGCCGACUAGGGAUCGGAUGAUGUUAAUUUUUUAAUGACUCAUUCGGCGCCUUACGGGAAACCAAAGUGUUUGGG
rnacentral:rRNA from 1 species